GAUGAACGCUAGCGGGAGGCUUAACACAUGCAAGUCGAGGGGUAACAUGAGGUAGCAAUACUUUGAUGACGACCGGCGCACGGGUGAGUAACGCGUAUGUAACCUACCUUGUACAGGGGGAUAGCCCGGAGAAAUUCGGAUUAAUACCCCAUAAUGAUAUCUGAAGGCAUCUUUAGGUAUUUAAAGUUUCGACGGUACGAGAUGGGCAUGCGUGACAUUAGCUAGUUGGUAAGGUAACGGCUUACCAAGGCUGCGAUGUCUAGGGGUCCUGAGAGGGUGAUCCCCCAAACUGGUACUGAGACACGGACCAGACUCCUACGGGAGGCAGCAGUGAGGAAUAUUGGUCAAUGGGCGUAAGCCUGAACCAGCCAUCCCGCGUGAAGGAAGAAGGCGCUAUGCGUCGUAAACUUCUUUUCCGGAGGAAUAAAAUUUCGUACGUGUACGGGACUGAAGGUACUCCGGGAAUAAGCAUCGGCUAACUCCGUGCCAGCAGCCGCCGUAAAAC
rnacentral:rRNA from 1 species